UAUUAACUAAUUAGAUUUACUCAAUUACUCUGUAACUUUUGACCCCAAAAACAUUCAUUAAAAUUAGGACUAUUUUUCCAUAUGUUACACUCUUGAGUAAAUUUUGUUGAUAUGCAACCUAAUGCAAAUAACUUAACUGAAUGAAGAACACAUUUUAAUCCAUAAAAAAAUAAAACAUGAUACACAGCUAAAUGUUUGUUAGGUUCCAUCUAACCUUUAUUUGUUGUCUUGUAUUAAUAUUUUUCAUUUUUGGUUUUAAAAUACCUAACAGUGCACAUAACUUCAUUUUUUCUGAAUAUUACAUGG